GGGCCGCGCCCACCCAAUCGGGAGCCCGCGGAAUAGCAGGCGGGAGGCAGUCAUGUGACACAGGCCGUCUUCCUGAGGGGAGGGGGCGCUGUCGCAGCGUCGAGCCGCGGCCCGCCGUGCCUUCGAGGCAGCAUCUCUGGAGCGCUCCCUCCUGGUAGGAGGAUAGGACUGCAGGCACAUAUCUCGCCCUCGGCAAGCACCACUCGGUGGGGUGGAAUUUGAACUCACGACCUUGGAAUGGUUCCCAAUUUCUUAAUCCUUGCCUUCCAGAAGUUGGAUGUGUGGAUAUUCGCUGCAAAAAAACCUUCAUCCUCUAAUGAGAUUGCUGCAAAUCUAGAUGUCAAAGGCACAAUAACGGGCCAAGUUGGUUUUUCUCUGAUCAGCUGGCAUGGCAACCCUACCAGGAUGAGGGAUCUUUAUGACGACGACAACAGAGUGAAUUCCAUGGAAAUCGCCUAAUUCGUCUGACUCUUAGAGUUAUUAAGGAAAUGCCCACUGGUUCCUCUUUCCAUUUACGAAAGAAGGAAGAGAUUAUGCUGGAGAGCCUCAUUUGCGAGAGAGCAGCCGGUCUCCCUUGGGGAGUUUUAUGGACAUUUCAGUGAUAAAUUAAAAGACGGGAGCUUUCAGGCUCAGUGCACGCAAGCCUUGUGUGUGUUUCAAGGGGCCCACAUGCUUUGGAGAACAAGCCAUUUGCACCACAGGAACCCCAACUCCAGUGGCUGGUUCUUGGGGUGUGGUGGGGGGUUGCGUUUGCCACUGGGUUUGAUUUCUCUCAGCCCAAGACCCGUUCCAUACGGCUCACCCAUGGGAGAUCUCCCUCCGAUGCUGCCCACGAUAAAGGAUGGUUUGCCAGGGCAGAAGUGGGGAAUUGCGGAAAUACUCUGGUGGCCUUGGCCGACAUUUGAGGAAGUCCAAUUGUAUAAUUGAGGCAAUCAAUCUCUUCUUCAACUCUGUAAGGUUGCUGACUGUACUGCUAAACUCAUUUCCAUCAUCGCUUGCCAAACCCAUUGUCCUCAUUAUUCUUCACCACUGCUUUACCCAUCUGAUGAUAGAUGCCAACAGCCUUCUUCUGUGACAGUGUUUUCUCUCUCUCUCUCUCUCUCUCUCUCUCUCUCUGUGAUGCAAAUUAAAGUUGCCUCCUUCAUAA